AGGUAGCUACCCCUGUGCAUAGCGAAUACCCCCAGGUACCAAAUAACUUCAUAUAGCUAAUACUCCCAGGUAGCUACCCCCUGUGCAUGGCGAAUAUCCCCGGGUACCCAAUAUCUCCAUGUAGCUAAUACUCCCAGGUACCUACCCUCUGUGCAUUGCAAAUACCCUCAGGUAC